rnacentral:rRNA from 1 species
GACGGAGGAGGCUAGCGUUAUCCGGAAUUAUUGGGCGUAAAGGGUACGUAGGCGGCUGGUCAAGUCUGGGGUCAAAGGCCACAGCUCAACUGUGGGAAGGCCCUGGAAACUGACCGGCUAGAGUGAGGUAGGGGUUGCGGGAAUUCCAGGUGUAGCGGUGAAAUGCGUAGAGAUCGGGAAGAACACCUGAGGCGGAAGCGCGCAACUGGGCCUCAACUGACGCUGAGGUAAGAAAGCUAGGGGAGCGAAUGGG